UGCUGCAAUUGGAAGACAGACACAGAGAGAGUGGUUAGGAUGAAUGCUUUGGAUUGAACACCAUUUCCGGCAGCGUCCUCUCGCACAGUUCCAUCUGAAUGCUCUUCAGGAUAUGAAGGAGUGUUAUUUUAAUCUCCAAUGCUCCAGGGCCAAUGCAGCCACUAGGAUCAGCAUCAAAGGAAAAAUACGUUAUUGGAUGGUGCUGCUGACGUUACUUCGGCGAGAAGCGUUCCGGAUCGAACUGGUUCGGACUUGGCCUUUUGCAGGAAAUGUGUCUUUUAAAGAUACAUAUAUACUCUAUAUGAUCGUACCACGGGAUCCCGAUGACGUCCUAGCACUGAGAUAUACAUGGGACAACCUGCAACAAUCCAGGAAUGCAGUGGGAUGAUACAGCCCC
rnacentral:sRNA from 1 species